UCCCUCUGAGCCUACCAGUCUCUAGAGGUGAUCUCUUCGGCAAGCAAAAAUGCUAUGGAGAACCCCAUAUCUGAACCUCUCACUGUUUUGGAAUGUAUUUUCAUGAGAAAGCACUUGCCCAGAAGGGUGAGGACUGUCUUUCAUCCUUGAGGGAAGCACAGUUCAUGUCAGCUGAGUGGCCAGGUCAUGGGGAUUUUCAAAGGCAAAGAGGAACUGGGAAUCUGUAUGUAAAGGAAUAUGGAAUAAGACAUCUUUUAAAUCCAGUACUGAGAACCAACCAUCGUCUUCCAGUGUCUGAGAUAGGAGAGUAUACAGACUCUUCAACAGCUAACAGAAGCUCAGCAAAGAGAGAGAGAGGAAGUCCCACAUUCCAACCUGGAGAUUUAGUACUGGCAAAGUCUCUUCCCUCAUCGUCUCCUUCCCUAGGACCAACUUGGGACUCAUGCCCUGGGACCCAGAAGCCACUGCACAGAGUGAGCCAACACCCAAAUACUCCUGUGGACCCAUAGAAGGAUUAAAAUUCUUGUUCAAAAAGAAAAUGAAGCCUCCAGAUAAGUAAUCUAAGAUGUUACUCUUAGCUCUUUUACCAAUCACCUCACCACCUAAAGGACAGUGCUGUUCCUUUCUCAGGUGGGCAUAGGAAUAUACAGAGUCAUUUUGAUAUAGAAAGCUGUUAGAAAUAUUGUAGGAAGUCAGACAGGGUUGGGCCCUUAAAGUCAAUGCAGAGGAUGAGAAAACAUCGAAUUGGUGGCUGGUGGUGAAUCUGAGAAAGAUCAAAGUCACAAUGGCCAGACUUGCAUACUUCCCUAUAGGAUGAAUAGAAGUUUGAGAUUACUGGUACUACUCUUUUGGGUUUUCUGGUAUAGAUAGACCAUUAUCUUCCUGGGGGUGAGUCAUCCUCUCCCACCCACUACAGCUAAGACCACUAAGACUAAGACUACUAAAACUAUGAAGUUUUAAGCCUAAAACUACAGAUUAUCAACCAAGGUUAAUGAUGUCAUCUAUAUACUCUAGUUACAAUUGGGUCAAUGUUGCCUAAGUUACUAUACUUGUAAUCCUGUUGGUUGAUUAUAGCUUUUACCCACAUUGUACCCAUCCCUCAUGACUCUGCUCUAUAAGACUUACUUUGAAAAGUGGGCUUGUUGCCAACCCAUUUAGGACCCCUCCUGUCUUCCAGGAGCUAUUCUUAUUCCCCAAUGCAUUCCUAACCUACUCCUAACCUCCAUAAUUUGUUCCUUAGAAUUCAUUAUUUGACUUCGAGAAACAAGAACUUGGCAUAUCUGACAUCAAACAUAGCUACAUCUAUCCCCCCAUAUCAGUUAUAACAAAUGUCUUGCUAGAUAUGUGGUCUGUCCCCUUGCCAAGUAUAUCAGUAUUUCCUUGGUGGGUAUCCCUACUUCAAGGAGAUGACUGAAAUAAGCUACAAGACUAUGCAGACGAGACAAAAAAUAGCCCACCAUCACAAGGUAACUGAGUGGUUUAUAAACUAUAUUCUUAAUGACCCUGGGCAUAAUCAGAUUUUUUUCUAAGAAUGCCACUGAAACCUUUCUACAGGCUUAAGACUGCUGUUAAUUAGAAGUAAGUGUUCAAUCAUGAGGGACAAAAAAUAUCAAUAUCAAGAUGGCUGUUUUGCAAUAUGGGAUGAUUAUAUAUGAUUACCUCCCCACAAGACACCAUAGUAGAAAGGCCCCAUUAUGUUGGGAACAAAAAUAAUCAGUAUUCUCAUUGGCCUAACUCUACUAAAUACUUGUGGUGGACAUCCCCUGAGUAGGGUAUACACACAAUAACUUUACAGGCUGAAGACUGGUCUACAACAAACUGUUUAAUCACCUUAGAAUUAGAUGGGAGGCCCCCAGUGGCACUCAUGCGUCUUGUGGAACCAAUUUGUAGCCCUGGAUAACCCCUAGAAAAAUAGGGAGGUGCACUCUGGGAUUUUUGUGGUUAUAAGGCAGGAGUGUUAAAAACAUAGACAAACCUGCAAACUCACCCCACCUAAGACACUGAUGGUCUAGAAGUGUAUUUCACUGGUGUGAUCAUGUUGUUUCUAUCUUUACCCCCUUCCCAGGGUUAGAAGGUGUCAUG